GCGGGGGGGGCGGUGCUUAUAAUGCAGUCACUGAACUUAGGAUAGCAAUAUUUUAGGGGAAGUGGCGCACGGGUGAGUAACACGUAGGUAAUCUGCCUUUAGGACUGACAUAACCCAGAGAAAUCUGGGCUAAUAUCAGAUGAUGCAGCGGCUCGACAUCGAGACAGUUGUUAAACCUUCGGGGCCUAAAGAUGAGCCUGCGUCUGAUUAGGUAGUUGGCGGGGUAAUGGCCCACCAAGCCUGCGAUCAGUAGCUGGUCUGAGAGGAUGAUCAGCCACACUGGAACUGAGACACGGUCCAGACUCCUACGGGAGGCAGCAGUAAGGAAUAUUGCUCAAUGGCCGAAAGGCUGAAGCAGCAACGCCGCGUGGAGGAUGAAAUACUUUUGUAUGUAAACUCCUGUGAGAAGGGAAAAGUAUGCAGAUUUUCUGCGUUGAUUGUACCUUCAGAGGAAGCCCCGGCUAACUACGUGCCAGCAGCCGCGGUAAUACGUAGGGGGCGAGAGUUGUCCGGAUUCACUGGGUGUAAAGGGUGCUCAGGUGGAUUUGUAAGUCAGAGGUGAAAUCCCAAAGCUUAACUUUGGAGCUGCCUUUGAUACUGCAAGUCUUGAGUUUGGAAGAGGGCAAUGGAAUAUCUGGUGUAGCAGUGAAAUGCGUAGAUAUCAGAUAGAACACCAAUGGCGAAGGCAGUUGCCUGGUCCAAAACUGACACUAAAGCACGAAAGUGUGGGGAGCAAACAGGAUUAGAUACCCUGGUAGUCCACACCCUAAACGAUGAAUACUAGAUGUUGGUCCUUUUAAGGGUCAGUAUCCAAGCUAACGCAUUAAGUAUUCCACCUGGGAAGUACAAUCGCAAGGUUGAAACUCAAAGGAAUUGACGG
rnacentral:rRNA from 1 species